rnacentral:rRNA from 1 species
CCUACGGGUGGCAGCAGUGGGGAAUAUUGGACAAUGGGCGCAAGCCUGAUCCAGCCAUGCCGCGUGAGUGAUGAAGGCCUUAGGGUUGUAAAGCUCUUUCGGCGGGGAAGCGGUACCCGCAGAAGAAGCCCCGGCUAACUUCGUGCCAGCAGCCGCGGUAAUACGAAGGGGGCUAGCGUUGUUCGGAAUCACUGGGCGUAAAGCGCACGUAGGCGGAUUGUUAAGUCGGAGGUGAAAUCCCAGGGCUCAACCCUGGAACUGCCUUCGAUACUGGCUAUCUCGAGUCCGGGAGAGGUGAGUGGAACUGCGAGUGUAGAGGUGAAAUUCGUAGAUAUUCGCAAGAACACCAGUGGCGAAGGCGGCUCACUGGCCCGGACUGACGCUGAGGUGCGAAGCGUGGGGAGCAACAGGAUUAGAUACCCUAGUAGUC